ACUCAAAUGAAUUGACGGGGGCCCGCACAAGCGGUGGAGCAUGUGGUUUAAUUCGAUGCAACGCGAAGAACCUUACCAGGUCUUGACAUCUGGCGAACCCUGUGGAAACAUGGGGGUGCCUUUUAGGAGCGCCAAGACAGGUGGUGCAUGGUUGUCGUCAGCUCGUGUCGUGAGAUGUUGGGUUAAGUCCCGCAACGAGCGCAACCCCUGCUAUUAGUUGCUAACAUUUCGGAUGAGCACUCUAAUGGGACCGCCCGUUACAAGCGGGAGGAAGGUGGGGACGACGUCAAAUCAUCAUGCCCUUUAUGAUCUGGGCUACACACGUGCUACAAUGGAUGGUACAGAGAGCAGCGAAGCUGUGAAGUGAAGCGAAUCUCACAAAGCCAUUCUCAGUUCGGAUUGUAGUCUGCAACUCGACUACAUGAAGUCGGAAUCGCUAGUAAUCGCGAAUCAGAAUGUCGCGGUGAAUGCGUUCCCGGGCCUUGUACACACCGCCCGU
rnacentral:rRNA from 1 species